rnacentral:lncRNA from 1 species
AGGGGAAUUAAUUUUCAUGCUAAAUCUGGCACAUUAUUGCUUUUAAGAGGGUAGUAAUGCCCUUUACCGUCAGGCGUCAAACGGUCAUUUUCAGCUACCGUUAGCGUCAAAUUGGUUAAAAUUUUACCGUGAUUUGUCAAAAUAUCCUUAUUAUGAUUCGUCAGAGGUCUCAUAUAAUUAUCGUUACCAUAAUUUUUUCCCCAAAAAAUAACGUGAUUCAUCAAAAUUAUUCAAAUGUUUUAUCCUGUAAAAGUAAGUGUUCAGUUUAUCGUCAUGCACAUAAAAUUACUGUUAACGUCAUUUGGCAAGAAUUUUUACCAUUAUUCUUCAUGAAGGUACCCCCAUUACUACCCUCUUUUAAGAUCUUCACCACCAUCACCAAAGUAUGUAAUUCUAUAAUGCCAUAUACUUUACAUUAAUGCAUGUUUAAUGCAGAUUAAAUAUCUAUUAAAUAAGAAAAAUAUAAUUAAAAUGAUCAUAGAUGUGUUUUUACAUUAAACACAUAAAUAUUACAACAAGCAAACAUUAAUAUCACAUUAAUCAAUAAUAAAAUUCCUAUCAUGAUUUUUUUUU